rnacentral:misc_RNA from 1 species
UUUCCGUAGGUGAACCUGCGGAAGGAUCAUUAUGAAUGGGGGAGUGUGGGGGAUUGGUGGGGGAUGUGGUUGGGAGAGGGAGAGUGUGGUUGUGGUGGGUGGGGAUUGGGGGUGGAUGGAUGGAUGGAUGCGUGACAUGUCUUGUCUGCGCCAUCAGUCUAAUGCACGUUCAGACCAGCCUGAAAGACCGCACUCGCUCUCGCAACUGCUCACUCACCACCACCAUAUAUAUAAGCACAGUUUGAGAGUAUGGCCGAGUGAGAGGAAGGAUAAUGAUAUGACAACUUUUAACAAUGGAUCUCUUGGCUCUU